rnacentral:lncRNA from 1 species
CCCAGUGUCAAGUAUAGGAAGCUCAGUGACUGGCAUACAAUACUGAUUAACCGAUUCUCUCUUUAAAAUAUGUGUGUGUGUAGUUCCAAAAACGAUUUGUGGAGACCAGGAGAGUCACCAGGCAGAAAACCGUUCUCCUUGGAGCAAGAGUCUGCAGGGACGGGAGCACCAGCUCUUGUGAAUCGCUGACUUUGCCAGAGGGAGAAACUCAGCCGAGGAUGGCAGCGCUGUACUGUCUGGGACUCCUGUCCUGGGAGCCCGAAGGGGCGAUGAGUGCCUUCGUGGGCACAGCUAAGGACUGACAGGUCGCCAGAGGAGUCCGAGCAUCCUAGGGUGUACUGAGCUGCACGCGAAGCCCCAGCGAGGAAGUCCUGAGCUGCCACUGGACCGUUAGCCAUUCCGUUUCUUUGGACCUGGGUUUCCUUAUAUGUGAAACGAAGGAUUUGAGUUUUCCUAGUGGCCCCACCAAGAUAGUCUUCACUACUUGUUGCCUUCAAUCAAGUGUGGUAUCCACAGAAGCUCCUUGUGCCUUCCGUUUCUUGGUUUAUCAAGCCUAUAAGGAUAUGGUAAAUUGGCAUUGGGUCUAACCUCUGCUUGCUUUGCUUUGCUUUGUGCUGAGUUCCUUGGCUAUUUAUUCUCAGUGUGGGAAUCUGGUUUUUGCUAUUGAUUUCCAUUUGUUUGGCAUCUUUGAUAGAAUCAGUCCAUUCCUUUCAUUCCUUUUUUCCAUCUUUUAUGUUACUAUUUUGUGUCCUGUCUAAAAGUGUUGUUUGUCAUAUGGAAAAUCAUGGGGUAGAACACUGACACAAGCUCUAGAAUCCUGUUGCUCCAGCUGACUUCACAGAUCUUGAAGAGUUUGGGGUUCUCACCAGACCAGCACCAUCCAUCCUUAUGUUCUUUACUGUGUACCUUCCUUAUGUCCAAUUUUCCCUCUUUUUAGAAGGGUGCCAAUCAUUGGAUUAGGGGAUACUUUAAUGCAGUAUGACCUCAUCUUAAUUUGAUUGCAUCAACAAAGACCCCAUUUUCAAAUAAGGUCAAAU